rnacentral:rRNA from 1 species
AUUUAUAGAAGAGUUUGCUCUCUGGCUCUUAGACGAACGCCGGCGGCACGCACUUACACAUGGAGGUCGAGCGAGAUCCUUUGGACUGCGUCUUCCGACAAGUGAAGCAAGUAAGAGCUAGCGGUCGGCUGAGUAGUGCGGGAGUACGUUUCGCUAGGCAGGGGGAUACCCCUUGGAAACGGUGAGUGAUAGCCCAUAAGCUUACGCCCUCGCACGAUCAGAUGGGCAAAGGUCAGAUGAUAUAGGAGGGGCGGUAGUGGGACUACAUAGCGGGUGAGGUAACGGCUCACCAAGGCGACGAUCGGUACACGGCCUGAGAGGGUGAUCGGUCACACUGGAACUAGACGCGGUCCAGAAUCCUACGCGAGGCAGCAAUGGGGAAUAUUGCACAAUGGGCGAAACCCUGAUGCAGCCAUGCCGCGAAACGAAGAAGGCUUUCGGGUCGUACAGUCUUUAAUAGCGACGAGAAUGACGUAGCUACAGCCAUGUGGG